GGGCCCGUCGUCUAGCUUGGUAGGAUGCGGGGUACACCAGAUCCCCGUGGUCCCGGGUUCAAGUCCCGGCGGGCCCA
rnacentral:tRNA from 1 species